rnacentral:lncRNA from 1 species
AGAAAAGGAGAAUCCAUACGGCUCUUUCGAUCUUUUGGAAUGGUGGAAGUCAAGGGAAAAACAUUUUCCCGUUCUUGCAAGGAUGGUUCAGAAUGUUUUAUCAAUUCAAGCUCAACUGUUACAUCGGAGAGUGCUUUCAGUCAAGCAAGACUACAAAUCGGUGAUCGUAGAGCGGCGAUGAGGGAGAGCUUGGAAAAAUCAGUGCUUUUUAGAGAUUGGAUCCGCG